rnacentral:rRNA from 1 species
CUACGGGAGGCAGCAGUAGGGAAUAUUGCGCAAUGGGCGAAAGCCUGACGCAGCAACUCCUUGUGGAGGAAGACGCCCCUAGGGGUGUAAACUCCUGUUUGUAGCGAAUAAUUUUGACUGUAGCUACAGAGGAAGCAUCGGCUAACUACGUGCCAGCAGCCGCGGUAAGACGUAGGAUGCAAGCGUUGUCCGGAUUCAUUGGGCGUAAAGAGUUCGUAGGCGGUAGCCUAAGUCUGAUGUUAAAUCCCGAAGCUUAACUUCGGCAUGGCAUUGGAAACUGGGUUGCUAGAGUGUGAUAGAGGUAACUGGAAUUCUCGGUGUAGCGGUGAAAUGCGUAGAUAUCGGGAGGAACACCAGUGGCGAAAGCGAGUUACUGGAUCAUUACUGACGCUGAGGAACGAAAGCCAGGGUAGCAAAAGGGAUUAGAUACCCGGGUAGUCC